UUUAGUUUCAAUUACAGUUAUGAUCCAGUAUCUGAAUAUCUAUCUUUCAUCGAUAAUGGUGACUUCUCUGUUGAUGGUGUGCUAUCUGACUUCCCAAUAACUCUAUCAGGGGCAAUAGACUGCUUUUCUCAUUUAGGUAAAAAUGCUUCAGAAAAAGCAAAAGUUUUGGUCAUCUCAAAAAAUGGAGCAAGCGGAGAUUACCCUGGUUGUACCGACAAGGCAUACCAGAAAGCUAUUUCAGAUGGUGCAGAUGUUAUCGAUUGUCCUGUACAAAUGUCAAAGGAUGGAAUACCAUUUUGCCUAGGCUCCAUAAAUCUUAUUGACAGUACGACAGUUGCCCAGUCCAAAUAUAGCAACCUUUCAGCAAUAAUUCCAGAGCUCAAAACAGGCAGUGGAAUAUUUACCUUUAGCUUGACAUGGAGUCAGAUUCAGAGCUUGACACCGGCAAUGGCAAACCCAUAUGCAAAAUAUGAAUUGUUCCGGAAUCCAAAGUUCAGAAAUGAUGGAAAGUUCUUAAGCUUGUCUGAUUUCCUGGCCCUGGCNNNNNNNNNUAGUUCUCUCUCUGGUGUCUUGAUAAGCAUCGAGAAUGCGUCUUAUCUGAUAGAGAAGCAGC
rnacentral:misc_RNA from 1 species